rnacentral:rRNA from 1 species
CCUACGGGAGGCAGCAGUGGGGAAUAUUGCACAAUGGGGGAAACCCUGAUGCAGCGACGCCGCGUGAGUGAAGAAGUAUUUCGGUAUGUAAAGCUCUAUCAGCAGGGAAGAAAAUGACGGUACCUGACUAAGAAGCCCCGGCUAACCACGUGCCAGCAGCCGCGGUCAUACGUAGGGGGCGAGCGUUAUCCGGAUUUACUGGGUGUAAAGGGAGCGUAGACGGUUGUGCAAGUCUGAUGUGAAAGCCCGGGGCUUAACCGCGGGACGGCUUUGGAAACUGUGGAACUGGAGUGAUGGAGAGGCAAGCGGAAUUCCUAGUGUAGCGGUGAAAUGCGUAGAUAUUAGGAGGAACACCAGUGGCGAAGGCGGCUUGCUGGACAGUAACUGACGUUGAGGCUCGAAAGCGUGGGGAGCAAACAGGAUUAGAUACCCUUGUAGUC